rnacentral:rRNA from 1 species
AACGAACGCUGGCGGCAGGCCUAACACAUGCAAGUCGAACGCUCCGCAAGGGGAGUGGCAGACGGGUGAGUAACGCGUGGGAAUCUACCUAGUUCUACGGAACAACACAGGGAAACUUGUGCUAAUACCGUAUACGCCCUGCGGGGGAAAGAUUUAUCGGAAUUAGAUGAGCCCGCGUAAGAUUAGCUAGUUGGUGGGGUAAUGGCCUACCAAGGCGACGAUCUUUAGCUGGUCUGAGAGGAUGAUCAGCCACACUGGGACUGAGACACGGCCCAGACUCCUACGGGAGGCAGCAGUGGGGAAUAUUGGACAAUGGGCGAAAGCCUGAUCCAGCCAUGCCGCGUGAGUGAUGAAGGCCUUAGGGUUGUAAAGCUCUUUCAGUAGGGAAGAUAAUGACGGUACCUACAGAAGAAGCCCCGGCUAACUUCGUGCCAGCCGCCGCGGUAAGAC